UACAGAGGGUGCGAGCGUUGUUCGGAAUUAUUGGGCGUAAAGGGCGCGUAGGCGGUGCGGUAAGUCACCUGUGAAAUCUCCUGGCUCAACUGGGAGCUUGCAGGCGAAACUGCCGUGCUGGAGUGUGGGAGAGGUGCGUGGAAUUCCUGGUGUAGCGGUGAAAUGCGUAGAUAUCAGGAGGAACACCGGUGGCGAAGGCGGCUUGCUGGGCCUUACCUGACGCUGAGGAGCGAAAGCGUGGGGAGCGAACAGG
rnacentral:rRNA from 1 species